GGGGAAUUUUGGACAAUGGGGGAAACCCUGAUCCAGCCAUCCCGCGUGUGCGAUGAAGGCCUUCGGGUUGUAAAGCACUUUUGGCAGGGAAGAAAAGGCUCUGGUUAAUACCCGGAGCUGCUGACGGUACCUGCAGAAUAAGCACCGGCUAACUACGUGCCAGCAGCCGCGGUAAUACGUAGGGUGCAAGCGUUAAUCGGAAUUACUGGGCGUAAAGCGUGCGCAGGCGGUUUGGCAAGAAGGAUGUGAAAUCCCAGGGCUUAACCUUGGAACUGCAUUCUUAACUGCCAGGCUAGAGUAUGUCAGAGGGGGGUAGAAUUCCGCGUGUAGCAGUGAAAUGCGUAGAGAUGCGGAGGAAUACCGAUGGCGAAGGCAGCCCCCUGGGAUAAUACUGACGCUCAUGCACGAAAGCGUGGGGAGCAAAC
rnacentral:rRNA from 1 species